rnacentral:rRNA from 1 species
GCUUACGGCCAUACCGCUCUGAUCAAGCCCGAUCUCGUCUGAUCUCGGAAGCUAAAACAAAGCCGGGCAUGGUUAGUACUUGAAUGGGAGACUGUCUGGAGAAUACCGUGUGCUGUAAGUU